CGCUAUCACUCCUACGGGGAGGCAGCAGUAGGGGAAUCUUCCACAAUGGGCGCAAGCCUGAUGGAGCAGCACCGCGUGAGUGAAGAAGGGUUUCGGCUCGUAAAGCUCUGUUGUUAAAGAAGAACACGUAUGAGAGUAACUGUUCAUACGUUGACGGUAUUUAACCAGAAAGUCACGGCUAACUACGUGCCAGCAGCCGCGGUAAUACGUAGGUGGCAAGCGUUAUCCGGAUUUAUUGGGCGUAAAGAGAGUGCAGGCGGUUUUCUAAGUCUGAUGUGAAAGCCUUCGGCUUGACCGGAGAAGUGCAUCGGAAACUGGAUAACUUGAGUGCAGAAGAGGGUAGUGGAACUCCAUGUGUAGCGGUGGAAUGCGUAGAUAUAUGGAAGAACACCAGUGGCGAAGGCGGCUACCUGGUCUGCAACUGACGCUGAGACUCGAAAGCAUGGGUAGCGAACAGGAUUAGAUACCCUGGUAG
rnacentral:rRNA from 1 species